rnacentral:lncRNA from 1 species
UGUUGUGUUAUUCUUCAUUUUAAGUGUCAGGUGGAAGUAUAGCUGCAUCUUCUGUUUCGAAUGAAAAUGAUUCCUUAUCAUUGGACAAUACUAAAGUUAUCGCUCCC